rnacentral:rRNA from 1 species
AUUGAACGCUGGCGGAAUGCUUUACACAUGCAAGUCGAGCGGCAGCGCGGGGGGCAACCCUGGCGGCGAGCGGCGAACGGGUGAGUAACAUAUCGGAACGUACCCUGUCGUGGGGGAUAACUAUCCGAAAGGAUAGCUAAUACCGCAUACGACCUGAGGGUGAAAGCGGGGGAUCGCAAGACCUCGCGCGAUAGGAGCGGCCGAUAUCGGAUUAGCUAGUUGGUGGGGUAAAGGCUCACCAAGGCGACGAUCCGUAGCUGGUCUGAGAGGACGACCAGCCACACUGGAACUGAGACACGGUCCAGACUCCUACGGGAGGCAGCAGUGGGGAAUUUUGGACAAUGGGGGCAACCCUGAUCCAGCCAUUCCGCGUGAGUGAAGAAGGCCUCGGUUGUAAGACUCUUUCGGUCAGGAACGAAACGGUA